AAUCGAGGCCCCGUAAUUGGAAUGAGUACACUUUAAAUCCUUUAACGAGGAUCAAUUGGAGGGCAAGUCUGGUGCCAGCAGCCGCGGUAAUUCCAGCUCCAAUAGCGUAUAUUAAAGUUGUUGCAGUUAAAAAGCUCGUAGUUGGAUCUCAGGAUUUGGAUGGAUGGUUCGCUUUCGGGCGCUACUAUCUGUCUGACCUACUCUAGUCGUGGAUGCCUUGGGUGCUCUUAAUUGAGCGCUUUUGGUGCCCGACGCAAUUACUUUGAAAAAAUUAGAGUGCUCAAAGCAGGCGUAUUGCCUGAAUAGUGUUGCAUGGAAUAAUGAAAUAGGAGUUUACUUCUAUUUUGUUGGUUUUCGGAGGUGAACUAAUGAUUAACAGGGACAGACGGGGGCAUUUGUAUGGAGGGGUUAGAGGUGAAAUUCUUGGAUCCUCUCCAGACAAACUACUGCGAAAGCAUUUGCCAGGAAUGUUUUCACUAAUCAAGAACGAAAGUCAGAGGUUCGAAGACGAUCAGAUACCGUCCUAGUUCUGACCAUAAAUGAUGCCAUCUAACAAUCCACGAAGUUUGCUUGUACGAACUCGUGGGCGGUCCCCGGGAAACCAAAGAUUUUGGGUUCCGGGGGAAGUAUGGUUGCAAAGCUGAAACUUAAAGGAAUUGACGGAAGGGCACCACCAGGAGUGGAGCCUGCGGCUUAAUUUGACACAACACGGGAAACCUCACCCGGCCCGGACACUUUUAGGAUUGACAGAUUGAAGGCUCUUUCUUGAUCAAGUGGUUGGUGGUGCAUGGCCGUUCUUAGUUGGUGGAGCGAUUUGUCUGGUUAAUUCCGAUAACGAACGAGACUCUACUCUGCUAAAUAGAACGUUGAUAUAUAAAAGUCAGUGCUGACUUCUUAGAGAGACUAACGGCGUUUAGCCGUGUGAGAAAGAGCAAUAACAGGUCUGAGAUGCCCUUAGAUGUCCGGGGCCGCACGCGCGCUACACUGACUGCAGCAACUAGUAUGCUCCUGGUUUGAAAAAACUGGGUAACCUGGUUGAAUUGCAGGCGUGACAGGGAUCAGAGUUUGCAAUUAUCCUCUGUGAACGAGGAAUUCCCAGUAAGCGCAAGUCAUUAGCUUGUGCUGAUUACGUCCCUGCCCUUUGUACACACCGCCCGUCGCUACUACCGAUUGAAUGGUUUAGUGAGGUCUUCGGAUUGGUGCUGAUGGAGUGGUUCUCUGCUCUGUUAGUGCCGAGAAGAUGAUCAAACUUGAUCAUUUAGAGGAAGUAAAAGUCGUAACAAGGU
rnacentral:rRNA from 1 species